UCCAACCCCAGUUAAAUCUAAAACCCUUUAACCUUCAACUUUCAAUAGUUCCGUGACAAGGCUGGGUUUAAAAACAAUGGUAAACACUUACCACUUGCCAAUCCAGCUUACAUUGUAAAUACAACUGUCUCCCAGCCAAUUGCAAGUCUCCGUCCAUUUAUUUCUCUUUUUGAUCAAGUAGUCAAUCACAUGCUAUAAUAUCCCUAUGGUGUUCUCGUUUCCUCAAUUUCAAAUUUUAGCUUCUCCAGUCCCUUCUUUACUAGAUUUAUGGAAGAACACCCAAAAAAUUUUGGCUAAAGUACUUAAUCCUCACUAUCUUGCAACGUUAUUAAGAUUAAAAUGCCUAAAUGAUAUGCACAAAAAGAG
rnacentral:misc_RNA from 1 species